CAACCAAUUAAAUGUUCGCGUUCUCCCGCUCAAACUAAGCCACGGCAAUAAAUUAGACACAGUGUAUGUUACAUAAUUUCUUCACAGUCUCUUAGUUCUUCUUUAUUUGGCAAACUUCUGGUUUCUCUUCCAGAAUGGCGUCAGAAUUGGUCCGAUUAAUUUAAAUAAAUAAAAGAAGUAAAUAAAUGCGUGACAAGCCAAGGGUCCUCGCUCCAUGAUACCUUCAUAUGACCUUGCCUGAAUCCAAUGGAACCCACUUUACUACACAUCUGGGACAAAAACAAGCCCCUGAGAUAUGUUGUAAUCCUGCUCGUAAAAUACUUUUGUUCUGCAUGUGAUCUGGCUGAAUAUGAAAUAUAUGGAGAGUGCUGCCCAAUGUGUUCGCCUGGAACUCGUGUUUACGGACACUGUACGAUGUACACCAGUACAUCUUGUGUUCCAUGUGAUGGAUUCACUUUCACUGAUAAACCAAAUGGUCUCAGUGACUGCAUACCAUGUACAAUGUGUGACCAAGGUCUUGGUUUAAAGACGGUGAAGGAGUGUACAGCAUCUUCAGACGCAGUGUGUGGAGCUCUGGAAGGAAACUAUUGUACUGAUCCUUAUGAGGGAGGAUGUAGAGCAGCAAAGAAACACACAACCUGCAAACCUGGACACUUCAUCAAACACCCUGGAACAUUGUCUUCUGACACUGUGUGUGACAGCUGCCCAGAAAAUUCCUACUCAAAUGGAUCUUCAGAAUUCUGCAAAAAACACACAAAUUGUGAGACCAAAGGACUUCCCACAGUGAAACCAGGAGACAGUGUGUCUGAUUCUAAAUGUGGAGAGAAGAAUUCUGGACAUCUUAUAGCUGUGAUUAUAGGUCCAAUUAUAGCUGCAGUUCUUACAACAGCAACUGUAGCAAUAUUCAUAUUCUAGAAAAAAUCAUCACUUUCUGAGGGUAAGAUUUUUUAUAGUUUUAUUAGUACUCAACUGCACAAACAAAGGCUUUUCUGGUAAAUAAACAUUUAUAUUAUUGCUUAUUUAAAAUUGUAGUUCAAUGGUUAUAUAUUCAAAAAUAUUGUGAUGAUGAUGUAUAAUGACAAAGACUGUGUAACAUCAAGCUAAGCUGGAUCUGUUAAUGGCUGUCUUUAUUUUAGGUGAUUCAAGCAUGAGUCCGGUAUGUUUUUUUCUUGAUUUGAGCUUAUUUAUUGUUUGUUUACUUUUUAUUGUCUACUGACUGUAGUUAUAAAAUUACCAUUUAAUUGCCUUACCAGAGACAAGAAAUGAUAAAUGGCCUAAAAGCAAAAGCUGAAAGCAUCUAGAAAUGGAUCCAAGUCACUGGAAAAGUUGUCAUAACAGAGUCCUCAGCUAACAGUGAAAUCGCGUGAAGUAAGAGUUUCUCAGCCUUUUGGUUAAGAUUGAGUGCAGUACUGGGGAUUUUAGCUGGGUCAAAGUAGAACAUAAUACAGGACUGUGCAUGACCCCAAUAUUCUCAGGGGGAAGCUCUGCUCCUUGGUUGGGUUUUAUUUUUUUUGGGUAGCCUGCUGAGCCUAAGGUGCAGAAGUUCAGCUGGCUUCUCUGCUCUCCCCGUAGGGUGACGCAAAGAUUUUUUUCUUUGUAUUUUUGACCCUAGGUAGCCCAGAGUAGUUUCACUCCUGAAGAUGUCAGUAGCCCCAGGUGAACAUGAAAGGACAAUCAAUGACUGUGGAAGGGAC